rnacentral:rRNA from 1 species
UACGUAGGGUGCGAGCGUUGUCCGGAAUUAUUGGGCGUAAAGCGUCCGCAGGUGGCUAUGUAAGUCUGCUGUUAAAGAGUGAGGCUCAACCUCAUAAGAGCAGUGGAAACUACAUGGCUAGAGUGCGUUCGGGGCAGAGGGAAUUCCUGGUGUAGCGGUGAAAUGCGUAGAGAUCAGGAAGAACACCGGUGGCGAAAGCGCUCUGCUAGGCCGCAACUGACACUCAUGGACGAAAGCUAGGGGAGCGAAUGGG